UGGGGAAUAUUGGGCAAUGGGCGCAAGCCUGACCCAGCGACGCCGCGUGCGGGAUGACGCCUUUCGGGGUGUAAACCGCUGUCACCGGGGACGAACCUGCCUGGUUCGAAUAGGUCCAGGCACUGACGGUACCCGGAGAGGAAGCACCGGCUAACUCUGUGCCAGCAGCCGCGGUAAGACAGAGGGUGCGAGCGUUGUUCGGAAUUACUGGGCGUAAAGCGCGCGCAGGCGGCUUUGCAAGUCGGGAGUGAAAUACCGGGGCUCAACCCCGGCACGGCUUCCGAAACUGCAUGGCUAGGGACCGGUAGAGGCUGGUGGAAUUCCCGGUGUAGCGGUGGAAUGCGUAGAGAUCGGGAAGAACACCCGUGGCGAAGGCGGCCAGCUGGGCCGGGUCCGACGCUGAGGCGCGAAAGCGUGGGGAGCAAACAGG
rnacentral:rRNA from 1 species